rnacentral:lncRNA from 1 species
GGAGCCUGAUAUAUAUUCGACAAUAGACGUUAGUCGCUAGGGAAACCGAUGUCUAGAAUAUUCUUUUAAAUAAGACGUUACGAACCAGCAGUUACCUGCACUUCAUCCUCUUCCUUUGCCUUUUCUCUCUGCAGAAUUGCAUUUCCAGGUGCAUUUGAUCUCUUUUCAACCAUUUAAUCUUGCAUUUAGUCCGACUAAAGUAAUCUUUAAUGUAUUAUCUUUCGUUU